GUGUCAGCAGCCGCGGUAAUACGGGGGGUGCAAGCGUUAUUCGGAUUUACUGGGCGUAAAGCGCGCGCAGGCGGUUUUGUAAGUCAGAUGUGAAAGCCCCGGGCUUAACCUGGGAAGUGCAUCUGAUACUGCAAGGCUUGAGUAUGGGAGAGGGAAGUGGAAUUCCUGGUGUAGAGGUGAAAUUCGUAGAUAUCAGGAGGAACAUCGGUGGCGAAGGCGACUUCCUGGACCAAUACUGACGCUGAGGCGCGAAGGCGUGGGGAGCAAACAGGAUUAGAUACCCUGGUAGUCCACGCAGUAAACGGUGAUCACUAGGUGUAGCGGGUAUUGACCCCUGCUGUGCCGAAGCUAACGCAUUAAGUGAUCCGCCUGGGGAGUACGGUCGCAAGAUUAAA
rnacentral:rRNA from 1 species